AGAUCGUGUUGAUGGAAACUAUUAAGCAAGCUCUUGUAUCUCUUCCAUGCUUCAUAUACAAUUAUUCUCCAAACUCUUGUUUAAAAUUAUCAAUCUUCUUCUUGAGCUU